UUGAAGGUACCUUAGGAUUUG
rnacentral:siRNA from 1 species